rnacentral:rRNA from 1 species
ACGGAAGGCAGCAGUGGGGAAUAUUGGGCAAUGGGCGCAAGCCUGACCCAGCAACGCCGCGUGAAGGAAGACGGCUUUCGGGUUGUAAACUUCUUUUGUCAGGGAAGAGGAGAAGACUGUACCUGAUGAAUAAGCCACGGCUAACUACGUGCCAGCAGCCACGGUAAUACGUAGGUGGCAAGCGUUGUCCGGAUUUACUGGGUGUAAAGGGCGUGUAGCCGGGUCGGCAGGUCAGAUGUGAAAUCCACGGGCUUAACUCGUGAACUGCAUUUGAAACUGUUGAUCUUGAGUAUCGGAGAGGCAAUCGGAAUUCCUGGUGUAGCGGUGAAAUGCGUAGAUAUAAGGAGGAACACGAGUGGCGAAGGCGGAUUGCUGGACGAAAACUGACGGUGAGGCGCGAAAGCGUGGGGAGCAAACAGGAUAAGAUACCCUGGUA